rnacentral:rRNA from 1 species
UGGGGAAUAUUGGACAAUGGGCGAAAGCCUGAUCCAGCCAUGCCGCGUGUGUGAAGAAGGUCUUCGGAUUGUAAAGCACUUUAAGUUGGGAGGAAGGGCAGUAAGCGAAUACCUUGCUGUUUUGACGUUACCGACAGAAUAAGCACCGGCUAACUCUGUGCCAGCAGCCGCGGUAAUACAGAGGGUGCGAGCGUUAAUCGGAUUUACUGGGCGUAAAGCGUGCGUAGGCGGCUAAUUGAGUCGGAUGUGAAAGCCCCGGGCUCAACCUGGGAACUGCAUCCAAAACUGGCGAGCUAGAGUAGGGCAGAGGGUGGUGGAAUUUCCUGUGUAGCGGUGAAAUGCGUAGAUAUAGGAAGGAACACCAGUGGCGAAGGCGACCACCUGGGCUCAUACUGACACUGAGGUGCGAAAGCGUGGGGAGCAAACAGG